rnacentral:rRNA from 1 species
UUCCUACGGGAGGCAGCAGUGAGGAAUAUUAGACAAUGGGCGCAAGCCUGAUCUAGCCAUGCCGCGUGAGUGAAGAAGGCCUUCGGGUUGUAAAGCUCUUUCAGAUGUGAGGAUAAUGACAGUAGCAUCAGAAGAAGCCACGGCUAAUUCCGUGCCAGCAGCCGCGGUAAUACGGGAGUGGCAAGCGUUAUCCGGAAUUAUUGGGCGUAAAGCGUCCGCAGGCGGCUUUUCAAGUCUGCUGUUAAAACGUGGAGCUUAACUCCAUCAUGGCAGUGGAAACUGAAAGGCUUGAGUAUGGUAGGGGCAGAGGGAAUUCCCGGUGUAGCGGUGAAAUGCGUAGAUAUCGGGAAGAACACCAGUGGCGAAGGCGCUCUGCUGGGCCAUUACUGACGCUCAUGGACGAAAGCCAGGGGAGCGAAAGGGAUUAGAUACCCCUGUAGUCCUGGCCGUAAACGAUGAGAGCUAGUCGUCGGAAGGCAUGCUUUUCGGUGACGCAGUUAACGCGUUAAGCUCUCCGCCUGGGGAGUACGAUCGCAAGAUUAAAACUCAAAGGAAUUGACGGAAU